AGUGAACGCUGGCGGCGUGCCUAAUACAUGCAAGUCGAACGGAGUGGCGCACGGGUGAGUAAUGUAUAGCUAAUCCGCCCUACACUAGAGGACAACAGUUGGAAACGACUGCUAAUACUCUAUAGUGUAGGAGGGGGCGAUAUUGUAUCAGCUAGUUGGUGAGGUAAUGGCUCACCAAGGCUAUGACGCAUCACUGGUCUGAGAGGAUGAUCAGUCAUACCUGAACUGAGGCACGGUCGGGACUCCUUCGGGAGGGAGCAGUAGGGUAUAGUGCUCAAUGGGCGUAUCCCUGAAGGGGCAACGCGGCGUGGAGGAUGACACUUCGCGGAGCGGAAACUCCUUUUGUUAGGGAAGCGGUACCUAACGAAUAAGCACCGGCUAACUCCGUGCCAGCAGCCGCGGUAAUUC
rnacentral:rRNA from 1 species